rnacentral:other from 1 species
CAUGCCCUGCUGUGUGCGCCAUGCAACCGGACCUAUUAAUGACCGAACACCUACUACAUUGGGAGUCUGGACUCUGGGCGUGGCGAGCAGGCCUCGCCUGACGGGGAAGCUCACAAGCGCCCAGGAGGACACCCACCUGCUUGAGCGCAGGUUCAUUAAGGUCGGUUCAGCGGCAUGGCGGGGUACUU